UGGGGAAUCAUGGUCAAUGGGCGAAAGUCUGACGGAGCGACGCCGCGUGGAUGAAGAAGGCCGAAAGGUUGUAAAAUCCUUUUGCCGAGGAAGAAUAAGUGUGGGAGGGAAUGCCCGCAUGAUGACAUGAAUCGGCGAAUAAGCCCCGGCCAACUACGUGCCAGCAGCCGCGGUAACACGUAGGGGGCGAGCGUUGUUCGGAAUUACUGGGCGUAAAGGGCAUGUAGGCGGUUAUGUAAGCCUGGCGUGAAAGUCCACAGCUUAACUGUGGGAUUGCGUUGGGAACUAGAUGACUAGAGUUACGGAGAGGGAGCUAGAAUUCCUGGUGUAGGGGUGGAAUCUGUAGAGAUCAGGAAGAAUACCGAUGGCGAAGGCAAGCUCCUGGCCGAUGACUGACGCUGAGGUGCGAAAGUGUGGGGAUCAAACA
rnacentral:rRNA from 1 species